GACGAACGCUGGCGGCGCGCUUAACACAUGCAAGUCGAGCGAAGCGGCGGACGGGUGAGUAACACGUGAGUAACCUGCCUUAGACAUUGGGAUAGCCUCGGGAAACCGGGAUUAAUACCAAAUGGUCUAAGAUGGACUCGCGUCCCAUUAGCUAGUUGGUGGGUAACGGCCCACCAAGGCGACGAUGGGUAGCCGGCCUGGGAGGGGGAACGGCAACAUUGGAACUGAGAAACAGUCCAAACUCUACGGGAGGAAGAAGGGGGGAAUAGGGCACAAGGGAGGGAACGCUGAUGGAGCGACGCGGCGGGAACAAAGAAGGCUUUCGAGUCGGAAAGUUUUUUUAUAUGGGAAGCGGUACCAUAAGAAAAAGCCCCGGCUAACUACGUGCCAGCAGCCGCGGUAAUUC
rnacentral:rRNA from 1 species